UGUAUGAUAAAACCCAUUGUUUCAUGUUCUGUGUGUGUGUGUGUGUGAGAGAAUCUCCCCACUGUGUUUUCCACCGAAUGCAUCUGAUGGGGUGAGCUGUGGCUCACGAAGGCUUGUGUUCAAGUGGAUUUGUUGGUCUCUAAGGUGCCACAAGUCCUCCUUUUCUUUUUGCGAAUAUAGACUAACACGGCUGCUACUCUGAAACCUG